CUUCAAAAUAAUUCUGUGAGCAAAUCUUUUAGAAAAACAUCCAAUCUUGAUUUUAAAAUGGUCAUUGAUGGAGAAUAUACCAC